rnacentral:tRNA from 1 species
UGGGGUGUGGCUCAAUGUUAGAAUACUUACCAGGCAUGAAAAAGGGCCUGGGUUUGAAUCCUAGCACCUCAA